GGAAGGAUCAUUACAGAAUUGUCAACGGGUUGUUGCUGGUCCUCGAACGGGGACAUGUGCACGCUCUGUUUACACAUCCACUCACACCUGUGCACCCUCCGUAGUUCUGUGGUCUGGGGGACCCCUGUCUUCCUGCCGUGGUUCUAUGUCUUUACACACACACUGUAAUAAAGUAUUAUGGAAUGCAUGCCGCGUCUAACGCAAUACAAUACAACUUUCAGCAACGGAUCUCUUGGCUCUCGCAUCGAUGAAGAACGCAGCGAAAUGCGAUAAGUAAUGUGAAUUGCAGAAUUCAGUGAAUCAUCGAAUCUUUGAACGCACCUUGCGCCCCUUGGCUAUUCCGAGGGGCAUGCCUGUUUGAGUAUCAUGAACACCUCAACUCUCACGGUUCGCCGUGAUGAGCUUGGACUCUGGGGGUUUUGCUGGCCUGCGGUCGGCUCCCCUCAAAUGAAUCAGCCUCCCAGUGUUUGGUGGCAUCACGGGUGUGAUAAAUAUCUACGCUCGCAGUUGUCCGCCAGGUAACCUUUGGUGACAAAGGUUCGCUGGAGCUCACAGAUGUCUCUCCUCAGCGAGGACAGCUUUUUGAACGUUCGAUCUCAAAUCAGGUAGGACUACCCGCUGAACUUAAGCAU
rnacentral:sRNA from 1 species